AUGAGCAGCGAAAGCAACUCUAAUGACAACAGUCAUCAACAAAAUGGUCAUCUAAGUGACGGUUCAGAUAAUGAGAACACGGAAAACGUGAAUGACUUCGAUCUGAAUGAUUUGAACUUAAACUACACCAGAAUGACCAAACAACAAAUUGGUGAAGAAUUGGAAAAAAGGAAUGUGCCUGACGUAUUCGCCAACAAAAAGGAUGCUUUUAACGCGCUCAAAAGAGUCAUUGCGCGGGAAGUGCAGGCGCAUCAAGAAAGGCAAUUACAAAACCAAUCUCACCAACAACACAGAGACAACAUGCAGCAAACAACAUUCGCGGACGGCAAUCCACAUGCGGUGCAGGUUAAAUACCCGAAGGUGGAGUUCCCAAAGUUCAAAAAUCAAGAACCACGGGAAUUUGUUAACCGUUUUGAACAAAUAGCCCAAAUGGGAGGGCUAAGCGAUAAGCAAAUGGUCCAAAUGUUUUGGGUCAGCCUGGAAAAAGAAGGAGAGCUGUGGUUUAGAAACAACAAGAAACACCUUCAGGAAAUCAACGAGUGGAAUCGAGUGAAAUCGGAAUUUUUGGAUGAAUUUGAAACUCCCGAGAACCUAGGAAGUAACUGGAUGACGUUCCAAAACAGGAAGCAAGGAGCAGGAGAAGCUUCAGCGGCAUACAUUGAGAACAAAAUCCACUUAGCCGAAAAAAUAAGAAACAAGUUAUCCGAAGUGGAGCUCGUUGACUGCAUCAUUAGAGGAUUUUUGCCUAACCUAGCAAAACAACUUUUCCUCAUGGACAACCCGGACAUUAGGACGAUGAAGAAAAACGUGAAAAGAGUAGAAGGAUCGUUUAUGGUGAACAAUGACACACAACCAGCGAGCACAGCGAACCCGCAACCAGACGUCUCAAAAACUAUAGAAGAAAUCAUCGUGAAGAAGCUGCAAGAAUUGGGCAUCAAAUCCGGUGGAAAACCUGAAGAAAAAUCCGUCAACGCCAUCAGCAACAACACAGGACGCGACGAACGCUCAGCCAGAAAUAGGAGCCGGGACAGAAACAUUCGUCAGGAUGACGAUAAGCGAGACAGGUACAGGAGCAGUAGCAGAGACCGGGAAGACAAGUACAGAUACGGCGACGAGUACCGAAGCAGGAGAAACGGAUCAAACAGCAGGGAUUAUGAACGUAGAAAUCGAGACUUCUCAAGAGACAGAAAUCGAGACUUUUCAAGAGAUAGAGAAUAUCAGCGAAGAUCAAGGCAAGAUAGAAGCCACAGCCCAUGGAGACAACGCAGGGAUGAAUAUUCCAGAAGUCAAAGCAGAGACAGAUAUCCGUCAAAUUCUCGUAGGGAUGAUUACUACACAGGACGCUCAAGACGGGACAGCUACGAUGACCGACGCUCAUACUACAACCGAGAAGAGAGCCCAGAAUAUGGACGCUGGCGGCGAUCCGGCGAUCGAAGAUCCCCCGACAGAUACAGGAACUGGCGGGACAGAUCCAGCACGCCGGGAAGAAGAAACAGCAGCAGAAGCCCAGGCGGUAAAAUCAUAUGUCCGUACUGUGGAAGAGUAGGCCAUCCAGAAUCCACAUGUUACAAAAAAGCCUACGACAGGGAGCAAGACCAAAAAAACUAG
rnacentral:lncRNA from 1 species